rfam:Oryza barthii chromosome 10, whole genome shotgun sequence.
AAAAAGGCAAACCCUGAAUUUCCAUGUCCAACGUUUGACUGUCCAUCUUAUAUGAAAUUUUUUUAUAAUUAGUAUUUUCAUUAUUGUUAGAUGAUAAAACAUGAUUAAUAUUUUCUGUAUGAUUUGUCUUUUUAAUUUUUUUUCAUAUUUUUUUAAAUAAGAUGAACAGUCAAAAGUUAUACACGGAAAUUCAGGGUUUGUCUUUUU